UUCACUCCUCUAGUCUUCUUCGCCUCUCUCUCAGAUCACACAAGGCGUUUAUAAAUUAAACGGUGCACUCAGAAUUGGAAUCCUAGCAGUCUCUUCAUCUAGCCCACUCACCCAGAAUCUCUCUCUCUCUCUCAAGACACUGUCUCUGCUUAGGUUGCUUUCUAUCUCGAACUUCGCGACCGUUAGGCUGUUAGCUUCGUCUGCAAUGUAGUUCGCUGGAGGAUCUGAUAAAAGCUACAAUGGCGAAGUGUCACCGGAACGUUGUCGGAUCCCUGGUUCUAGACCACCGAGCUGCCACUUCAUCUGCUGGAAGCGGUCAUUUCCGGAUAUGGACUGCUUUCUCUGGUUCUGCAUUCCGCCGCAAAAUCUUCGACGCUCUCAGUUGCGGCGGCUCCUCCCGUUUUCGCCACCACAUGGAAGAAGAGAGUGAGACGGUUUCUACAUCCACGGCCACUACAACCGCCAUUACUACCAUUGCUGAUGUUUGCAAUGGUAGCGAUGAGAGAAAGUCAGGGAAGAAAGGUGAAGUGGCGCCGGUUCAUACGAAGUCGAAGGUGAAAUCGGAGAAGUUGUCGGAUCUGCUGAGCUUGGCUGAGGCGGAGAAUGAGAUGGAGACGAGGAGGAAAGAAGAGGCGUUAGAGGAGUUGAAGCGAGUGGUGAGGGAAUUGCAGUGUGAAGAAGAGGCGAAGAGGAGAAGAGCUGCUGCCGAUGUGAGGCUGCUCGCCAAGGACGAUUCGGAGGCAAGAGUGACGUUGGCGAUGCUCGGUGCGAUCCCUCCUUUAGUUGAAUUGCUCGAUUUGGAAGACCUCGAUACACAGAUCGCUUCACUCUAUGCUCUGCUCAAUCUCUGUAUUGGCAAUGAUGCGAACAAAGCGGCCAUUGUCCAAGCUGGGGCUGUUUACAAGAUUCUAAAGAUAAUUGAAUCUCCAAAUGCUCCAAAUCCAGCACUAUCAGAAGCAAUAGUGGCUAAUUUUCUAGGCUUGAGUGCAUUGGACUCAAAUAAACCAGUCAUUGGUUCUUCAGGUGCAAUUCCUUUCUUGGUAAAAACUCUCAAUAAUUUAGACAGCCAUAGUAGCCCACAAGCAAAACAAGAUGCUCUCCGGGCUCUAUAUAACCUUUCAAUAUCCUCAUCAAACAUCUCCCUCAUUAUAGAGACCGAUCUUAUAGCCUUUCUCAUUAAUACAUUGGGGGAUAUGGAAGUGAGUGAAAGAAUGCUUUCAAUUUUGGGCAAUGUUGUAUCAGCCCGGGAAGGUCGAAAAGCAAUUAGCAGUGCGCCAGAUGCAUUCCCUAUUUUGGUUGAUGUCUUGAACUGGACUGACUCGCCAGGAUGCCAGGAGAAGGCAUCAUACAUUUUGAUGGUGAUGGCACACAAAACCUAUGGAGAUAGGCAUGCCAUGAUUGAGGCUGGAAUUGUGUCAUCAUUGCUCGAAUUAACUCUUUUGGGUAGUACAUUGGCACAGAAUAGGGCAUCAAGGAUCCUGGAACGCUUGAGAGUGGAUAAGGGAAAGCAAGUUUCGGAGAAUUAUGGUGGUAAUGUGGGUGCGGUUGUAUCUGCCCCUAUUUGUGGCUCUUCAUCAUUUUCUCUGAAUCCAAAUGGAGGUUCAAAGGAAUGUUUGGAAGAGGAUGAAGGUAUGAGUGAAGAGAAGAAGGCAGUUAAGCAUUUAGUCCAACAGAGCUUGCAGAACAAUAUGAGGAGAAUUGUAAAGAGGGCCAAUUUGCCACAAGAUUUUGUUCCAUCUGAACAUUUUAAGUCCCUUACAGCGAUUUCUACAUCAAAAAGCUUACCAUUUUAACAAGAUUGGACUAUUUGGUGUUUGCAUGGACUUUGAAGAGUCAGAAUGUGAAAUCUGUAGAGAUGGAAGUAGAAUCUGAGCUGUUCCAGCUAAAUUGGAGCUUGUGCGCACUUCUUCCCAUGACCAGUGACCAUGAGGUAUGUAUAUAUAUUCCAUGGUGCUUUAUUGUGGGGUUAUUCUGUAAUCGUUUGGACAUUUUGAUAUUCCUCAGCAUCCCUUGUUCUGUGAGGUCUAUUUGUUAAAAUUGCUGUAAAUAUCAUUUUGUACUAUGAGUGUGUUGUCCUUAUUAAAUUAGUUUUGUCCAUUUCACUUAUGCCAUAGCCUGUAGCUUGAUCGUCUUUAAUUUCUUUUGCUGAAAACAUCUAGUGGCCUGUAUCAUAUGUACCAUAAGCUCUAUCAAAUUAAAAUUUUCAGAA